rnacentral:rRNA from 1 species
AGCGAACGCUGGCGGCAGGCUUAACACAUGCAAGUCGAGCGGGCGUAGCAAUACGUCAGCGGCAGACGGGUGAGUAACGCGUGGGAACGUACCUUUUGGUUCGGAACAACUGAGGGAAACUUCAGCUAAUACCGGAUAAGCCCUUACGGGAAAGAUUUAUCGCCGAAAGAUCGGCCCGCGUCUGAUUAGCUAGUUGGUGAGGUAACGGCUCACCAAGGCGACGAUCAGUAGCUGGUCUGAGAGGAUGAUCAGCCACAUUGGAACUGAGACACGGCCCAAACUCCUACGGGAGGCAGCAGUGGGGAAUAUUGGACAAUGGGCGAAAGCCUGAUCCAGCCAUGCCGCGUGAGUGAUGAAGGCCCUAGGGUUGUAAAGCUCUUUUGUGCGGGAAGAUAAUGACGGUACCGCAAGAAUAAAGCCCCGGCUAACUUCGUGCCAGCAGCCGCGGU